CUGCAAUACUGCUAAAUUGGUCAAUUACUUCCCUGCCUCCCCACCCUCCAACUGAAUUCUCACCACCCUUGAGGGAAAACAGUCUGGGUUCCCUGUGGAACAUCAUUUCUCAAAACUGUAUUUUGGGGCUUGCUUUCUCAUUUUUCCUUUCCAUUUCAGAUAUCCUUACUGCUGUCUUUGGGCUCUUUAAACACUGCCUUUUUUCCUUUUUCGAUCACACCCAAAAACUUUUCUCAAAAAUUACAUGUAAAUUUAAAAAUUUACAAAUUAAAUUUAAAAUUGAAAUUUUAAAAAUCCCGACUCUCCCUAAUUUCAGGAAGCAUGCAUUUAUUAUACAUAACAAGACGUGAAAGCCGCAAGAGUUUCAGCCUAAACACUGAAGACCCCGCGAAGUGAAUCCAGCUGCUGCUCUACAAGCAGCAACAACAACUGGGAAGCCUUCUCAGCUACACUUCGGGGCACUGGUCCAACCCCACGCAAAAUCCCUCGUUUCCCUUAGCGUGCAGAACCACGGGCACGGUGAUGAUGGUGACAAGCGCAGCAGCACCCAGCAGUCCCAGAAGAACCUUCCACGGUGUCUGCAAGCCGAGCAGAUCAAGUCCAAUUAGAGGGAAGCGUGUGGCCCCAGUUUCCGUAGGAGGGUCGGGGCUGCUCCAGAGGCAGCAGGAUUUGCAGGAAGGAAGACUGUACACAGAGAAUAAAUAACUUGGCCAAGCCAUUCAGCUAGGAAGUUGUAGAUCCUAAAUUAAGAGUUCAAGGUCUUAAUGGCUACUCUAUGCGGCCUCUCAUAGUCUUUUCAAGGGUUUUGGAGAAGAAUAAAAGAUCAGUCAUCCACAGAUGUUUGAGUGGUUACAAUGUGCCAGCCUCCCUUCUAGGUACUGGAGAUAAAGUGGGACAAGAGAGGUGAGGUCUGGACCCUUGGCACUUUCACGAUAAAAUACACAGGUAAACAUUUGCCUUUAGGGCCCCCUGUGAUUACUUCCACUCUUGCAGAUAAGAGGAUAAGGCCUCUUCAGCUUGUUCACAGCAGCUGAAAAGCAAAGCCUCUCUGUCAGUAGAGGUAAAAGAUUAAGAAUGCAGAGUCCGAUGGGGCAUUACCACAUGAUUAUGAAUUAAUGCAAUUUUCCAUCUUUUAUUUCCAAUCCAGGCAUUGCUUUUGAACUCAGUCAUCUUUUCCCCCUUGCCCACUAGUUGCUUGUGAUACAUCAGUAUCCUCACUCACCCCCAACUCCAGAGGCUGAAACUAACUCUCCUCCUCCCUCUUCCAACUGCUGAGGAAGAUGAGUCAAUGGUGUUACUGGACCCUGUGAACUGAUGCUGUGAAGAGAGGCCAUUUAACACGGACUACGGGGAAUGGUGCCACAGGGGGCUCAGUGCUGCCCUUCACUCUCAGCAUUUUGCUCACUCAGCAUUGGUAAGCCACAUCAGCCUCGGUGAAGGAAGUCUGGAGAGUUAAGCCUGUGCUUCAUCUCCAUGCCAGCACCAUGGCACUCAUUGUACAUUCAGCAAGCCCCAAGGAAGCUGGCAGGAGGCUGGCUGACAUCUACGGGACAGGUCAAUUUGUUCUCUGGAGGGCACUCCAUGAGACGCAAAUAUCUUCACACCCUGUGCCCAUUUCAAGAGACUCUCUCACAUGCCUCCCCCACCUUGACCUCUGUGUCACCAGUCUUUCAAUCUUGUUUUUUCCAAAUCCUUAAGGUAGCAGCUGGCCAACACAUUAGCCACCACUGAUGAGUCAGUGUAGAUCUUACAUUGGGCCAUCUCUUUUUUCUUGCAAAAUAGAAAAGCAGAUGUUCUGCUCAAAGUUCUGUUUGUCAGUAAGAUUUCCCUUUCUGCUGUGUUUCAGGACAUCCCUGGGAGGGACUCUGAUGCAGCAGCCAUCUACUUAUUGCUAGUGCCAGCUUACUUUGCAUAACAUUGACUCCUUUCCCUCAUCUGUUGCCUAGUUGUAGGAAACUCCUUGUGAAGCUAUAGGUGUGCACUGAGGGAGAGACAUUGAGUCAAUGGGAGCAGGCAUCAUAGAGUCUAAGUUUUCUGCUAGUCUGAGUUUCUUGUGCCUUGUGGACCUGGUGGGCUUAUCUCCUUUAUCAUAUAGAUACAAUUUUCGCUUAAUAAUAGCAUGCUCCUGCAAAUGCCCAAUUUUAUCAUGUGGUAGAUUAGGCAACACUCAGUUUAUUAGGGUAGCUAGGUUGUGCAGUUACUUGAUGUUAUGGAUUGAAUUGUGUCCCUCCAAAAGAUAUAUUAGAAUCCCAACCUUUAGGACUUCAGAGUGUGACAUUAUUUGAAUAUAGGGUCUUUACAGAGUUAAUCAAUUUUUUUGAAUCUUAUAUAGCUUUUAUUUCAG
rnacentral:lncRNA from 10 species